rnacentral:lncRNA from 1 species
AGAGGAUCCUGAUCCCUUCCCCCUAACACAAUGAAUCAAAUAAAUAGAUAAAUAAAGAGAUUGUGUUUGUGUUUGGAGGCAAGUGUCAACGACUUUUGGGCUAAUCUUAUGUUGUUCAAAACAAUAUAUUAUUUUAUAUUUUUAGAUUAAAAGUGGGCCAUGUAGAAACCAUCAUCAUUGGUACCGGAUAUUGCUAAAAAUAUCAAUUUUUAAGCGGUACGAUUAGGAAGACAAAAUUUAGAUAUAAAAUUUACAAACUAAAUGAUGUGUCACCAUUAUGAAUGGAUACGUUUAUCAACGCUUCACUAAUAAACCAGUCAUUAACUUCCAUAUUUUUUAGUUUCCAAAAUGUUGUCUACAAAUUUAAUCUCACUAACCUUACCCAGUUUUUAAAUCAAAUUGCAAACCAAAUGAUAUGUCACCGAUAAGAAACAAACUCAUUAAUCGGCACUUAAUUAAUAAUUUAAUCAUCAAUAACCACAUCAUUUGAUUUGUAAAUUUAGAUUAAAAAAUUUGAUAUUUCUAGCAUUAUCCGUACGUACCUAUUCCAUUUUGAUAUACCACGCAUGUAAAAAUAAAUAAAUAAAUUGUUCUUCUACAAUAUUUUAAAUAAUAUAUAAUGUUUUUUUUUUCAAACAAAAAGAAAAAAGGAAAACUAAUGAAAAUGGCUUGAAAACUUUGAGUUUUAAUGAUAAGGACAAAAUAAAGGGUAAAGUGAAUAGUACCAGGAUUGACUUUUUAGUGUAAAAAUGUGGUUUUUCGUUAAAGUGAACAGUACCGGGUGCUUUUCGUUAAAAUUCCCAAAGAAAAACCCCAAAACCGCCUCCUCCAUGCAGCCCCAAAACACGAUGAACUAAAUAAGUUGUAUUUGUCACUUAAUAUUACGGUCUAGUGGGAUUCCUCUUCAGUUGUAAAUGAGAGAUCUUAGGUUUGAUUUUCGCCAAAGACGGAUUUGAACCACAUUAUUGAAGCACAUUAUGAGGCUAAACUCAACUUCCUCUCCAUUAGUGUAGAUAAUAUUGUUGUUCAAAAAAUAAAAUUGUCCUUAAACAUGCAAACGUUAUACAAGUCUAUUGUCUAAACUGGUGUAUUAUUAUAGGCUCCGAAUUCCGAUUUGAUAAAAUUUUAAAAAACCCAUGCAAUAUAUAGUAGACAAUAUCUUAUUAAAUCUGAAACACAAAAGAAAUGGAAAACUUCGUUGGCUAAGAACCUCCAUUCUUGCACUCAAGUUUUCGUGUUCGAAUUCCUCCAUAAAUAUUCCAUCAUUUGUCAAACAAACACACACAAAAGAAAUGGCCCUUCGAAGAUUCACUAGGUAAUGCUUGUAUUCCUGAAGAAACCGUUCCCAAUCCAUACGCUCCCAUUGUUUAAUAAAUUCAAUCUAUGUGCAAAUGCAUUGUAAGAGAAAGAAAGAGUCAAAGCUAGAGAUCAAAAUUAUGAAUUGCUAUCACCAUCGAAGUGCCCGGACGAUGCCCCAGAGAGAGGGAAAUGUGUCGAGGCGGCCGAUUAAAAAACUCUAACGGCAUUUUGGCUUUUUCCUCCCGCGCCCAGUGGAGAAAUAGUCUUGCAAACCAAGAAAAAAUGUUCCUAUUGUUUUGGUCAAAUAACGCAAGAUGUUCCUUCCACGAGAUGGCUAUUGAUAUAUAAAAUAUUAAAGGUUUGAGUAGAAUUAAACCAUUUUAGGUCAAAAUGUCACUGAUUAAAAUAAAGUUUGAUUAAAAUAAAAAUAAUAGUGGUUAGAGGCAGAUCAACGACACUAUUUUUUUUACAAAAAAAUUUUACGCAUGUUUCUGUAAUACUUAUUUUGUAAUGUAUUUCAAUGAUUCAAAUUGUUUAUUUUUUAAUCCUCUAGUUUAUAUGUAAAAUUCUAACCUGUAGUGGGCCGAAGCCACCCUAAGCGCAUUAUGUUUACAUGUGAAGUGGUCUUAUUGUUGACUUUGACUUAGAAAUGUGGUGCCUACACUACUAAAUGAUCAUAAGCCAUUUAUUAUUUUUAAUUAUCAUCUCCCUAAUUCAAGCAAUUGAUUGAAAUCCCUGUUCUCUAUCUAUUUUUCCCCUGCCGACGCACCAAGCCUGCAAACGGAAUUUGCCGUCGAUUCGUCCCCAACUCUCACUUCCUCACCUUAAUCCUUGAUUUCUCUUACAAGUUCCUGGUUAAGUAUUCAAUUUUUUUGGCUUUCAGAAACUCAUUAUUAUCUGAAACUAUAGUCCAUCGUUUACCUGCAAACCCGACCAACUCACCCGAAAAUAGAUUGGGUUGGGCGAGUCGGAAUACAAGUAUAUUUGGUAGGUGUCAGUUUGGCCAAAUGAUGGUCCAACCAUCAUGGGUCGGCCUACGGGUUGAGUGUCAACGCUGCCCAAUCCGACUGAUGUCCG